AACGAACGCUGGCGGCAUGCCUAACACAUGCAAGUCGAACGAGACCUUCGGGUCUAGUGGCGCACGGCUGCGUAACGCGUGGGAACCUGCCCUUAGGUUCGGAAUAACUCCCCGAAAGGGGUGCUAAUACCGGAUAAUGUCUUCGGACCAAAGAUUUAUCGCCUUUGGAUGGGCCCGCGUUGGAUUAGCUAGUUGGUAGGGUAAAAGCCUACCAAGGCGACGAUCCAUAGCUGGUCUCAGAGGAUGAUCAGCCACACUGGGACUGAGACACGGCCCAGACUCCUACGGGAGGCAGCAGUGGGGAAUAUUGGACAGUGGGCGAAAGCCUGAUCCAGCAAUGCCGCGUGAGUGAUGAAGGCCUUAGGGUUGUAAAGCUCUUUUACCCGGGAUGAUAAUGACAGUACCGGGAGAAUAAGCUCCGGCUAACUCCGUG
rnacentral:rRNA from 1 species